rnacentral:rRNA from 1 species
AUGAACGCUAGCUACAGGCUUAACACAUGCAAGUCGAGGGGCAGCAUGGUCUUAGCUUGCUAAGGCCGAUGGCGACCGGCGCACGGGUGAGUAACACGUAUCCAACCUGCCGUCUACUCUUGGACAGCCUUCUGAAAGGAAGAUUAAUACAAGAUGGCAUCAUGAGUCCGCAUGUUCACAUGAUUAAAGGUAUUCCGGUAGACGAUGGGGAUGCGUUCCAUUAGAUAGUAGGCGGGGUAACGGCCCACCUAGUCUUCGAUGGAUAGGGGUUCUGAGAGGAAGGUCCCCCACAUUGGAACUGAGACACGGUCCAAACUCCUACGGGAGGCAGCAGUGAGGAAUAUUGGUCAAUGGGCGCAGGCCUGAACCAGCCAAGUAGCGUGAAGGAGGACUGCCCUAUGGGUGGUAAACUUCUUUUAUAAAGGAAUAAAGUCGGGUAUGUAUACCCGUUUGCAUGUACUUUAUGAAUAAGGAUCGGCUAACUCCGUG